rnacentral:rRNA from 1 species
GGUCCGCGGGAAUUCGAUUCCUACGGGAGGCAGCAGUGGGGANUAUUGCNCAAUGGGCGCAAGCNUGAUGCAGNGACNNCCGCGUGAGGGAUGACGGCCGUCGGGUUGUAAACCUGUUUCAGCGCCGACGANGCGUAAGUGACGGUAGGCGCAGAAGAAGCACCGGCCAACUACGUG